GUGCCAGCAGCCGCGGUAAUACGUAGGGGUCGAGCGUUGUCCGGAGUUACUGGGCGUAAAGCGUGCGCAGGUGGCUCAUUGCGCCCGGCGUGAAAGCCCCCGGCUCAACCGGGGAGGGUCGUCGGGGACGGGUGAGCUUGAGGGUAUCAGGGGCUGGUGGAACUCCCGGUGUAGUGGUGAAAUGCGUAGAGAUCGGGAAGAACACCCGUGGCGAAGGCGGCCAGCUGGGAUACACCUGACACUGAGGCACGAAGGCGUGGGGAGCGAACGGGAUUAGAUACCCCAGUAGUCC
rnacentral:rRNA from 1 species